rnacentral:rRNA from 1 species
UACGUAGGGUCCGAGCGUUGUCCGGAAUUAUUGGGCGUAAAGGGCUCGUAGGCGGUUUGUCACGUCGACUGUGAAAACCCGAGGCUUAACCUCGGGCCUGCAGUCGAUACGGGCAGACUAGAGUUCGGUAGGGGAGACUGGAAUUCCUGGUGUAGCGGUGAAAUGCGCAGAUAUCAGGAGGAACACCGGUGGCGAAGGCGGGUCUCUGGGCCGAUACUGACGCUGAGGAGCGAAAGCGUGGGGAGCGAACAGG